ensembl:lncRNA
GGGAGAUCCAGUCUGCCACGUCUAACCACUACGCCUGCACCUAUCUUUCAAGAUCUUUAAAAAGGAGUCAUUUCCUAUGGGACUGUUAGAAAUAGAAAAGCAGAAUUACAGAAGGUGGCCUGGUUAACAGAUGCAGAAUAUUCCCACUAUGGUCUCCACAAAGAAGUUCUAAAAUUGUCUGAAAUGAUCAGGUAUUGGAGAGUAACACUUCUGGAUGGGGAUUCACAGCAGCUGGCACCAUGGGAGGACUGAACAGAUAAUAACGAACGCCCAAGAAAGAAGGGUGCAUUUUCUCUUGUGUGGAUCUGUUGUCAUGGAUUCCGA